GUGUCAGUUCUGUCGGUCCCUCCAGGAGAGGGGCUGACGACGCCUUGGCUGUCCCACCUUGGAAAAGGGUGCCACCGCGCGCCACUCCGGGCGUCCACCGAGUCAGAUGGCUGAGUGGCCGAGCAUUUCCCAGAGCUCCCAAGGCCAGGCGUGGCGGCCCGUGCUUGCAGUCCCAGCGUUUGGAAAGCAAAAGGCAGAAGGAUGGCUCCCAGCUAGAGGCCAGCUUGUUUUACAUGAUCUGGCCUCGCCUGCCCUGGAGGAGCUCAGAAACAGUGUGACAGAAAGCCAACUCUGAAUUAGAAGUGAUGGGAACUGAAAACA